CCUACGGGAGGCAGCAGUGGGGAAUAUUGCACAAUGGGGGAAACCCUGAUGCAGCGACGCCGCGUGAGUGAAGAAGUAAUUCGUUACGUAAAGCUCUAUCAGCAGGGAAGAAACACUGACCUUACGGUAAGCAGACGGUACCUGAGUAAGAAGCACCGGCUAACUACGUGCCAGCAGCCGGGGGACGACGUAGGGGGCAAGCGUUAUCCGGAUGUACUGGGUGGAAAGGGAGCGUAGACGGUGCGACAAGUCUGGAGUGAAAUGCCGCAGCUUAACUGCGGAACUGGUUUGGAAACUGGCGAACUAGAGUGCGGGAGGGGUAAGCAGAAUGCCUAGUGUAGCGGUGAAAUGCGUAGAUAUUAGGAGGAACACCGGUGGCGAAGGCGGCUUACUGGACCGUAACUGACGUUGAGGCGCGAAAGCGUGGGGAGCAAACAGGAUUAGAUACCCUAGUAGUC
rnacentral:rRNA from 1 species